rnacentral:piRNA from 1 species
UCAACUGUGUCGUUCUAGUGCCUUUUGGCCUU